GCACAGAUAGACGGAAAUGGUAGCACAUGAGACUCUCAAUCUCAAGGAUGUGGGUUUGAGACCCAUGCUGAGCA